ACGCUCGACACCUACGGGGCAGCAGUGGGGAAUAUUGCACAAUGGGGGAAACCCUGAUGCAGCAACGCCGCGUGAGUGAAGAAGUAUUUCGGUAUGUAAAGCUCUAUCAGCAGGGAAGAUAAUGACGGUACCUGACUAAGAAGCUCCGGCUAAAUACGUGCUAGCAGCCGCGGUAAUCUGAGCGGGCUGGCAAGGC
rnacentral:rRNA from 1 species